UCUAGCUUCAAAUCCUAUACACAUACAUUGAUUUUAUAGUGUGUAUUUAAUGUAUAUUGUUUGUAUAUCAUGUAUAUCUUGUAAUUGGGCUAGAACAUAUUUGAGCGCACUUUUUCUUUUGGCUUUAGGUCUGGCCCGAGUUGGCCCAAAUGUAUUAUAUACACACUGACCCCUUUGUAUUAGGGUCAGUCGGACUUUUGGUUAAUUGAAGAGUUUUUCUCUCUCUGAAGCUCUCUC
rnacentral:lncRNA from 1 species